rnacentral:misc_RNA from 1 species
AACGAGGCCGACCUGCGGCUGAGUUACCUGCGGAGGGAUCAUUACUGAGGAGGGUCCAUGGCCCGAUCUCCAACCCUUUGAUAAAAACACCAUGUUGCUUUGGCAGGCCCGCCCGUUGGGGCCGCGGGGGAUCGCCGGUCCCUAGCCCGUGCCUGCCGGUAGCCUUCACAAAACUCUCAAAAUGUUGUCGUCUGAGAUGAUUAGAAUAAUAAAACUUUUAACAACGGAUCUCAGAUCGGA